rnacentral:rRNA from 1 species
AAACUUUCAACAAUGGAUCUCUUGGCUCUCGCAUCGAUGAAGAACGCAGCGAAAUGCGAUAAGUAAUAUGAAUUGCAGAAUUCCGUGAAUCAUCAAAUCUUUGAACGCAAAUUGCACUCCUUGGAAUUCCAAGGAGUACACAUGCUUGAGGGUCAGU